rnacentral:rRNA from 1 species
GUAGGUGGCAAGCGUUGUCCGGAAUUAUUGGGCGUAAAGCGCGCGCAGGCGGUUCUUUAAGUCUGAUGUGAAAGCCCACGGCUCAACCGUGGAGGGUCAUUGGAAACUGGAGAACUUGAGUACAGAAGAGGAAAGCGGAAUUCCACGUGUAGCGGUGAAAUGCGUAGAGAUGUGGAGGAACACCAGUGGCGAAGGCGGCUUUCUGGUCUGUAACUGACGCUGAGGCGCGAAAGCGUGGGGAGCAAACAGGGAUUAGAUACCCUGGUAGUCCACGCGUAAACGAUGAGUGCUAAGUGUUAGGGGGUUUCCGCCCCCUUAGUGCUGCAGCUAACGCAUUAAGCACUCCGCCUGGGGAGUACGGCCGCAAGGCUG